rnacentral:lncRNA from 1 species
GUCCAUGGAAAAGCUAAGCUUGGAAGAAAAAGAAGCCCAUAAGAAGAUUGUUGAAGAAAUUGGAAGGGCUAACGAAGAACGCCGUCCUUGCCUUACUUGUCUUGUAUCACCAAGUCUUAAAUUUUACCUUACUGAAAACGAAAAGGAAGAUGAUUGUUCUAGUGAGUUGUUGAUCUCAACUCUUGAUGAAUGAAUUUUUUUAAAUCAAUCUUUAUAAACAAAGCUGUAAAACUUACUGGUUUUCAUGUAUGCAGGCAAAGAUGAUUUGCUGAUCAAAGGGUCGUUGAGCGAUACCGAUAUCGAUGCUGCCAAAGAGAUUAUCGAUGCUGCCAAAGAGAUUUUUGAAUCUGAAUCAUCCACUGAGGUAAUUCAAUCAAAACGAAGGGCAUCAAAUUUCUCUACAUGCACUAAUUAUGGGUUUUUAUUGUUCUUACAGGAACCGAGCAGCUAGUUAAAGAGGAGAGGAAGAAGAAAGAUGAGAUUUAGAAGGGUGAUACCUACGGGAAAACCCGUAAAGAACUUUCUCAAAGUUAAAUCAUGUUAUUACCCAUCUUGUGGCGACCAGAAGUUAAACCGACAUUACUCAAAAUCCAGCAGCAAUGUUAAAUCAUAAAUGUAAAUGAAACGAGCUCAUUGCAUUUUCUUUUUUUCGUCUUUCAUUCUCUUCUAUCCUUGGUUACGACUUCUGUAAUUGUACCCGAUAGGAACUGUACGAAAUUAAAUGAACCAAAUGUCAUAUAGAUUAUAGAAUAUGAUAGCUAAAUGCAAUGAAGGGAAAAUGUUUGAAUAAUUCAAUGCCUCAAAGUCUUGAAUUCCAAUCCUGAUUAGAUCCACCUAGAUCUCACCGGUUGCUCACAGGUGCCCAGUAAUUCCGGAAACACAAAAGAACAGGGAAGCUUGGUAAUCCCACAGA